CCUACGGGCGGCAGCAGUGAGGAAUAUUGGUCAAUGGGCGUAAGCCUGAACCAGCCAAGUCGCGUGAGGGAUGAAGGUUCUAUGGAUCUUAAACCUCUUUUACAAGGGAAUAAAGUGUGGGACGUGUCCCGUUUUGUAUGUACCUUAUGAAUAAGGAUAGGCUAACGCCGUGCCAGCAGCCGCGGUAAUACGGAGGAUCCGAGCGUUAUCCGGAUUUAUUGGGUUUAACGGGUGCGUAGGUGGCCUUUUAAGUCAGCGGUGAAAGUCUGUGGCUCAACCAGAGAAGUGACUUUGAAACUGGUAGGCUUGAGUAUGUUUGAGGCAGGCGGAAUGCGAGGUGUAGCGGUGAAAUGCUUAGAUAUCACGCAGAACCCCGAUUGCGAAGGCAGCCUGCUAAGCCAUGACUGACGCUGAUGCACGAAAGCGUGGGGAUCAAACAGGAUUAGAUACCCUAGUAGUC
rnacentral:rRNA from 1 species